rnacentral:rRNA from 1 species
CACACCGCCCGUCACGUCAUGAAAGCCGGCAACACCUGAAGUCGCUGGGCUAACCUCGUAAGAGGAGGCAGGCGCCGAGGGUGGGGCGGGUGAUUGGGACG